rnacentral:rRNA from 1 species
GGCGAUCAGAUACCGCCCUAGUUCUGACCGUAAACGAUGCCAACUAGCGAUCCGCCAGUCGACUCAUCGCUCUGGUGGGGAGCUUCCCGGAAACGAAAGUCUUCCGGUUCCGGGGGAAGUAUGGUUGCAAAGCUGAAACUUAAAGGAAUUGACGGAAGGGCACCACCAGGAGUGGAGCCUGCGGCUUAAUUUGACUCAACACGGGGAAACUCACCCGGCCCGGACACCGUAAGGAUUGACAGAUUGAUAGCUUUUUCAUGAUUCGGUGGAUGGUGGUGCAUGGCCGUUCUUAGUUCGUGGAGCGAUUUGUCUGGUUUAUUCCGAUAACGAGCGAGACUCUGGCCUACUAAAUAGUUGACGCAUUGCCACUGUGCGCACAACUUCUUAGAGGGAUUUUCGGUGUUUUCAACCGCACGAAAUUGAGCAAUAACAGGUCUGUGAUGCCCUUAGAUGUGCGGGGCUGCACGCGCGCUACACUGGCAAACGCAACGUGCCUGUCCUGCCCCGAAAGGAGCGGGUAAACCCCUGAAAUUUUGCCGUGAUUGGGAUCGGACAUUGCAACUAUUGUCCGUGAACGAGGAAUCCCUUGUAAGGGCGAGUCAUCAACUCGUCCUGAAUACGUCCCUGCCCUUUGUA